UGGGGAAUAUUGGACAAUGGGCGAAAGCCUGAUCCAGCCAUGCCGCGUGUGUGAAGAAGGUCUUCGGAUUGUAAAGCACUUUAAGUUGGGAGGAAGGGCAUUAACCUAAUACGUUAGUGUUUUGACGUUACCGACAGAAUAAGCACCGGCUAACUCUGUGCCAGCAGCCGCGGUAAUACAGAGGGUGCAAGCGUUAAUCGGAAUUACUGGGCGUAAAGCGCGCGUAGGUGGUUUGUUAAGUUGGAUGUGAAAUCCCCGGGCUCAACCUGGGAACUGCAUUCAAAACUGACUGACUAGAGUAUGGUAGAGGGUGGUGGAAUUUCCUGUGUAGCGGUGAAAUGCGUAGAUAUAGGAAGGAACACCAGUGGCGAAGGCGACCACCAGGACUAAUACUGACACUGAGGUGCGAAAGCGUGGGGAGCAAACA
rnacentral:rRNA from 1 species